GAUGUCCCCUUUAAGAAAAAAGUUGUCCCGGAUGGUCGGCGGGGGGGGGGGGGUGCAAUUUCUCCUAUUGUCAUAUGCCGGACUAACAUACAAGUAGAAUUGAGCAAGUAGGUAGACAAUAAAAUACAGCGAGGUUUUAAUAUGGUAUCAAACCGAAGCACGAAAAAUGAGGCCUCAUGUCUCAUUAACUCAAUUAAUAUGGUUGUAAUUUUGUGACAACAAAAUCACGUAUGGUAUGAAACAUCGAAAGUACUUUCAAUGUAAUAUGUAACAUUUGAUUUUGUUCACUUUCAUUCGUCGUACAUUAUUUAUAUUAAGAAUGUAAUAAGAAGACAAAACUGAUUGCAAUAAUUAAUCAUCCUCUGAGAUCCCCAUUUUCAUUUUCAACAGAGAUGAAAAAUGGAAUAAUUAGGUUCAUCUUGAGAGUUAUAAACAAUAUUCGCGUAAGUACAUAUUAUGUAGUUGGUAAAUAAACUCAUAUACUACGCGUUUUUUUUCUCUUAAAAUACCUAAUUAAUUAAUAAUGUUAAAAUGUACUUCAUCCACGAACUGAUUCUAAGAAUCAUGUUUGAUGAACACCUGUGUGACCGAAUACAUGUUGUUUAGCGUACUCCCAAAUGAACAAUGAUGCCGAAACGUGUACGUUUAGAGAACGAAUCACUCCUUUUUGAGGAAUCUCUACGCAGGUGUCGAAUAAACACAACAGAUCAGCUGGAAUACCUUCUUUUUCAUUUCUAAAAUAAAAAACUAAAAUAAAUAUUUCACACGUUCA